CGAGAUACGAAAUUUAUGAAGUUAUGUCUGUAGAGUGCAAAAAUGGGGUUUAUCUUUUUAAAAAUAGGAAUGCCACUUUUCUCCUCUAAACAUGCAAGAUGAUGGAUGAUUUCUUUUGUAGCUGUUGGACUAACUUGAAAAUAUUGAUAAGACGUGUGCUUUUAGAAUUUACGAUACUCCAUAUGUAGCACAUGUUAGUUCAUUUAGAAAAUGCUCCUGAAGAAAUUUUUGUUUUCUUAAGAUAAUCACAAUUUUUUAUAUUAGUUUUCUAUUCAAUCUUAUUCAUUGAAGACGUUUUUAGUGCUAGAAAUUAUUGUCAUGCAUUGUGAUUGAAUCACUUAACUUUCCUUCACAAAGUGCAAUUUGGCAAGGAUGACUGCAAAUUUGCGAAAUUGCUAGAUCAAAAGCAAGUAAGGUAAUUUAUAUGCUUCAAUUGGCUCAUUUAGUACUUAGGCUAAAUAGUAUCCAUCUGUGUCAUAAAGAUGAAUAUGAAGCAAAUUGGAGAAUUCAUUGGAUUCAAAAGAGAAUGUACAAUGGCAGAGAGUGACAAGGUGAAGUAAAUAAUGGGAUUGACUAGUUGAGGUCAUUUUUGUUGCCCAAUUGGUGGGAGGAGUUACAUCACCUUUUGGGAAAAUCAUGUCUGCUUCAUUAAUAGCUAUAUGGUCCCUAAAUUUGUCAGGAAACCAUAUUUUUCAAACAGAUUUAUUCCUUGAUUUUUCUACGCAAAUAGCUGGUCGGAUUCACUAUUUACUUAUUCUAACUAGAAUAUAAACGGUUAUACAUAUAUGUUACACAAUUACCUACUA